UUGCUUUUUAAAUGACAUUUAUUUUUUCUAAUAAUUCAGGUACAUAACACAUUUUCAAAGGGAAAUUUGAAAAUACUGAACAAUGUAAAUAAAAGAGAUAUAACUAACUCAUAGUCCUAUCAUCAGGAGAUAAUUAUUAAGUAUUAACUUGUAUAUACUUAUGCUUUCUUUUUUCAGCCUAUAGCAUCUGGUAUCCCAUCUAAGUAAUAACCUGGCCCAAUCCUGCUUAAGCUUCCAAUAUUAGGCAUUUUCAGGGUGUUAUGACCACAGAUGAUGUAACUAUUAACUUUUAAAUAUUUUUCUGGUCUUUACAUAUCUGAAGGUUUACGCAUGUCUACAUGUAAUUAUAUGGUUACUUAAUUAAAAAUUUGGCUUCAAACUGUAUACAUAUAUUUGGUUUUUGAGUUUUUUUCCUUUUUACUUUGAAUUCACAAGGAUAUGAAACACACAUAUUCAGCUUUUUUUGUGUUCAGCUUUUUUGUAUUCAGCUUUUUUUACUUAAAAUUGCAUAAUUAGCAUAUACUCUUCAAAUAUAGAAUAUUUGGUGGCUGUGUUAAAAUUUAAUUUUCCUGAUAGAGAUAUCAUGCUGCAUUUGGCUGUACCCCUGAUGUGUCCAAUGCUGUGUUGGAGUCAUUCAGCAAACAUCUAUUCAUAGUCCAUUCAAUGUAUGGUGCCAUGCUGAAUCUAAACAAGAGAUAGACAGUCUGAAAAUAUCUGACAAACCGAUGAGGUGGACCUUCCAGAAGUCUAUUUACAAGAGGGCUGAGGAGACUCUGGGAGAAUCUUUAACAAGAUGGUCCUGGAUAUGACUAGCUUACGGACUUGAUAGAGAAAUCCUGGGCUGUCAGAGAGGAGAGGUCACUCUGAGUACAACAUGGUGUUUGUAGCGUGGUUUUGUCUCCUGGCCCAAGUCCUUCGGAUCUCAUGUUUAAGUUCUUUGGAAACUAAAGUGUUAUUGAAUGAAGCUCCGUAAAACUCUGGAGCCUAAGCAUCUUUGUCUUAGCAUCCCUCCAACCCAACAUCUGGAAAAGGGAGACUUUGGUUUGGUCAUUUUGGUUGCAAUAGGCAGAGCUGCACUGAUUUAGUGGUGGGGUUUACUGAAAUGAUCAGCACAGUGACAAAGAAGAAAGACUAUCUAGGAAUCCAAGAACAGAAACCAGGCCUAGUGUACACUGUCACUGUGGGCAAAGGCAGUUUUAGGAACUUUUGGAGCAGAAGUUCACAUAUCUUCCUUUUAAUAGGAUACCGUUAUUAAAAUGAACCAGAUACUCUCUCUAAAUAUUGGCUUCCUUCUUCAUCCUUUAACCACUUUUUGAUGGUAAUAAUCCAGUUGCUUCAUUCUUGGCUUCCUAGUUCAAAUUCUCAUGCUUGAAUAACCACCAGUCUUGCUUGGAUAGUCUUUUACUCCAGCCUAAGUCAGAGGCCAUUAGCAAGACAAUAGGCUGCCAAAGACUCUGGGGCUUGCCCCAGUUCAGUCAGCUGGUCCCAGAGCAUGAAGGUCACGUGGUAUAUAACAUGGCUUGCUUUCAAGAUGCUUGUUUCAGCAAAAGCUGUAAACAGGGCUUAAAGGCGGCUGUUGGCGCAGCAGGCAUCAAGGAGAAAAAUAUUCUCUUCCGUAUCCCCCCAGCCUACUCC
ensembl:lncRNA